AUUGAACGCUGGCGGCAGGCCUAACACAUGCAAGUCGAACGAGUGGCGGACGGGUUGGUAAUGUCUGGGAAACUGCCCGAUGGAGGGGGAUAAGUACUGGAAACGGUAGCUAAUACCGCAUACCAUCGGAUGUGCCCAGAUGGGAUUAGCGAGUAGGUGGGGUAACGGCUCACCUAGGCGACGAUCCCUAGCUGGUCUGAGAGGAUGACCAGCCACAUGGGAACUGAGACACGGUCCAGACUCCUACGGGAGGCAGCAGUGGGGAAUAUUGCACAAUGGGCGCAAGCCUGAUCCAGCCAUGCCGCGUGUAUGAAGAAGGCCUUCGGGUUGUAAAGUACUUUCAGCUGGGAGGCGUUACCCGCAGAAUAAGCACCGGCUAACUCCGUGCCAGCAGCCGCGGUAAUUC
rnacentral:rRNA from 1 species